GCUCAGAACGCGGAAGAGAAGCAGACUCUCAGCCAUGCUCGCGGUGGUGGGCUCCCUGGCGGAGGCCCUCUGGGGGCUGCUCCGUCUCCGCACUCUCCUGCUGGGUGCCGUCGUAUUUCUCUUCUUUGCUGAUUUCCUCAAAAGGCGGCGCCCAAAGAACUACCCGCCUGGGCCCCCGAGCCUGCCCUUCGUGGGACACCUCUUUCAUCUGGACUUACAGAAGGGGCACCUGUCGGUUCAGCGGUUUGUGAAGAAAUACGGGGAACUUUUUCGCCUGGACGUCGGUGACUUGGUUUCAGUUGUUAUAACUGGAUUGCCCUUAAUCAAAGAAGCCCUUGUCCACCAGGGCCAAAACUUUGUGAACCGCCCCAUAACCCCUCUUCGAGAACAUGUCUUUAAGGAAAAUGGAUUGAUCAUGUCCAAUGGCCAGGUGUGGAAGGAACAAAGAAGAUUCACCCUGAUGACACUGAGGAACUUUGGUUUAGGAAAGAAGAGCUUAGAGGAACACAUUCAGGAAGAGGCCCGCUACCUCACCCAGGCAAUAGGAGAGGAGGACGGACAGCCUUUCAACCCUCACUUCAAAAUCAACAAUGCAGUUUCCAAUAUUAUUUGCUCCAUCACAUUUGGGGAGCGCUUUGACUACAAGGAUGAUCAGUUCCAGGAGCUGCUGAGGCUGUUGGAUGAGGCCACGUAUCUGGAGACAUCAAUGUGGUGCCAGCUUUACAAUGUUUUUCGGCUGAUAAUGAAUUUCCUCCCUGGACCCCACCAAAGGCUCUUUCGUAACUGGGAGAAACUGAAAAUGUUCGUUGCCAGAGUGAUUGAAAACCACAAGAGAGACUGGAAUCCUGCCGAAGCAAGAGACUUCAUUGAUGCUUACCUCCAGGAAAUAGAGAAGCAUAGAGGCAAUGCUACCUCAAGUUUCAAUGAAGAAAACCUCAUCUCCAGCACCCUGGACCUCUUCUUCGCUGGAACGGAGACAACUUCGACGACGCUGCGCUGGGGUCUGCUCUACAUGGCCUUCUACCCAGAAAUCCAAGAAAAAGUACAGGCUGAGAUUGACAGGGUACUUGGCCAAUGGCAGCAGCCGAGCACAGCAGCUCGGGAGUCCAUGCCCUACACCAACGCUGUCAUCCACGAGGUGCAGAGAAUGGGCAACAUCGUCCCCCUGAACGUGCCCAGGGAGGUGAUAGUGGACACCACGCUGGCUGGAUACCACCUGCCCAAGGGAACUACAGUCCUGACCAACCUGACCGCACUGCACACGGACCCCACAGCGUGGGCCACCCCAGACACGUUCAAUCCGGAGCACUUUCUGGAGAAUGGACAGUUUAAAAAAAGGGAAGACUUUCUGCCUUUCUCAGUAGGAAAGCGGGUGUGCCUUGGAGAGCAGCUGGCCAGGUCUGAAUUGUUCAUUUUCUUUACUUCCCUUGUGCAAAAAUUCACCUUCAGGCCUCCAGACAAUGAGAAGCUGAGCCUCAAGUUCAGAAUGGGCCUGACCAUCUCCCCAGUUCCCUACCGCAUCUGUGCUGUUCCCCGGGAGUGAGGUUGUCCGGGAGGGAGGGGGAAGGAAAGCAGGAAGAGUUCCCAGGUCCCUGCAAGGCCCUGGUGCCUGCUGACAAAUGAGGGAACAGAAUGACCUGCCUCUGAGGACGGUCCUAGGACUUGGACUCAGUGGAAACUGGAUCAGUCCUCACCCCAGCUUUUCCAUGAUUCUAGAAGGACAGGCAUUUAAAUUCUCCCUAUGAAAUAAAUGGAAAAUCCUUGGACAAACAUCCUGAUCUAUGGGAUACACUGGGACCCAGAGCCAAAGGCAGAGUGACUACUUUUAGCCAGAAACCUUGAGGACCCAUGACGGGUAGUAACUGAAUUUUCUGGCCAUGUAAAAUGAUUCCUUUUCCCCUCAAAUCUCAUUGGGGAGACUCUAAAAUACGAACUCUCUUCCUGUCCAAGUACAACACAGAUUUUGUUCUCUGCACUUUGUAGCUCUCUCAUUCCUCAUCUAUUUUGGAAGCUCCAGGGCCCCCUUCCCUCUUGCUUUUUAUCAGUGACACGUGGUGUGCAAGCACAUGACAUUUCAUAUGUAUUCAUGGAUAAGGCACAAACUUUGUCAAAAAACCACCCAGGAUGUGAAUUUUUUACAACCCCUGUCCUGCGGAGAGACACAGACACACACUGCAGUGUAAGUUUAAAAUCAGAUUGGAGGUUGGAGGACUUAUAAGCAGAGGAGCAGGACACUCAGGAUUCCCUCAGUGUGUAUGGGUGUUUCCAGGUCGGGCAGGGCUGGAAUACGUGCACUGGCGAGAGGGGCCACCUCUCAGUGCCUUGUGGGUUUAUAGACAGGAGUUGGGGGCUGACUAGGUGACUAAGUGACAAUGACAGCUUCCUGUGUGACUUUACAUGUUAGAUCAGGGCUUUGUUAGGACAAGGAACUCCAGAGGUCUGCCUGAGUGUCUGGCUCUCCUUCCCUGGAGAUCAUUCAAGCCCACUUGUUGCUAAGCUACCAAGAGGGAAGGUGGGGUACUGGAAAUGAGUGUCCAGAGACAUUGGGGUUCUCUCUCCUCUACUGCUUUCUGUGACUUUGAGCAACAUAUUUAAACCACAAGCCUUGGUUUUCUUCCUCUCAAACAUGGAACGGGGCCACCUAUUACAUUUCCCCAUGCUUGUUUCCACGGAACAGAGUGAUACCCCGGGAUGGGUAUUUUGUACCAUCCUGGUCACACUGUGUUUUUGUACAUUCCCCAUGAGCUACGUGUGCUACUCUGAAAACCUAAGAAUGUUUCACUUUUGUUUUGAAACAGAUAAGAAAUCACACAGGAAUAAAGGGUCAAAUGCAAAGUGUCACUUUCCAGUUUGGGGACUAAAUCAUUGAUGAUGCCUGCUACAAUAGUCAGAGUCCAAAGAGAGGUUUCCCUUUGCCAAAUGCGUCAGGGUCCGGAGAGAGCACUGGGCUCUGAUGCACAUUAAACAACAUUAAAAGACUCAGGGUAUGUGAUCCUUUCCUCACUGGGUUCACAGAACAAUAUACUCUCCCCCUACUGACCUCAGGAUCCUUAUAAAUCCUUUAGUGGGGCUGCCCCUUUGUCAACCCCCAGGACACCAUCACAGGUGGUCCUGGUGAGCAGCAACCUCUGGAGGUGGGCCGUGUACAGCCAUGUGAAUGGCCUGCUCGUUAGCUGGGCACGUGGUGGUUUUGUGAUCUGAUACCUGCUCACCUCAUCAAUCACAUCACUUCUCCUGCCAAACUGGUGAACUAUCCAUUCCCAGCAGGCCAGGUCCUUUAUCAUCUUCUUGUCUUUAUAUACUUUCUGUAAUAAAUGUCUAAUUACACCCAGCAGACCCUGUUUAAAUGCCAACUCUUCAGUGACAUUUUCUGGACUGUCUCAGCCAGUUAGUUGAUCCCUCCUCCAUUCUCUGAGAAUUUUAUUCAGAAGUUUCCAUCUCCUGUUUCCAUGUAAUCUGCCAGUGACACUGAGCUUUACGAGGGAGUGUGCCUUGCUCACCUAGGCUCAGGACCUACAGGUUUGGACCAGAGUAGAUGCUUGAUAAAUGCUGGGACCUGGGACCCUUUACUGCAGUACUUACACCUGGGCAAACAUAUCCUCGAACAACAGAAUACAGAGAAACUAUAAGGGGCUAAAAAUAACUGCAUGCGCAGUUGGGGCAAAUGAUGAACAAGCAGAUACAAAAAGGCCAAAACCCGACUGCCACUUCUGAGGUGUCAGGGGCAAAAGCCCUGUUCUGCCCACGGUCCCUGCACACAGCACUAUCAAGGGGGUGGGCAGGCCACCUAAGCCUCCCUUCCUGGUGGACCCACCAGUCUGCCCCUACCCUCACCCCCUUUAAGGGACUAGUUCACCUCCCCUCAGGGAGCAAGCUAGGAAAUGAGUUACCUGUUUUCACCCCCUCGUGCUGCAGCCUGAGUCCCAAUAAAGCCUUGCUUGAAUUUCUCA